AGAGUUUGAUCCUGGCUCAGAAUGAACGCUGGCGGCGUGCUUAACACAUGCAAGUCGUGCGCGAAGGUGGCUUCGGCUGCCGGAGAGCGGCGAACGGGUGAGUAACACGUGGGUAAUCUGCCUGGGAGUGGGGGAUAACCUGGGGAAACUCGGGCUAAGACCGCAUACGUUGGUGGGGCUUUUGGGUUCUGCCAAGAAAGCUGGCCUCUGCUUGCAAGCUAGCGCUCCCAGAGGAGCCCGCGGCUGAUUAGCUAGUUGGUGGGGUAAAGGCCCACCAAGGCGACGAUCAGUAGCCGGCCUGAGAGGGUGAUCGGCCACACUGGGACUGAGACACGGCCCAGACUCCUACGGGAGGCAGCAGUGGGGAAUAUUGGACAAUGGGCGCAAGCCUGAUCCAGCAACGCCGCGUGGAGGAUGAAGGUCUUCGGAUCGUAAACUCCUGUCAGAGGGGACGAAGGUUUGGGGGUGAACAAUCCUCAGGCUUGACGGUACCUUCAGAGGAAGCCCCGGCUAACUCCGUGCCAGCAGCCGCGGUAAUAC
rnacentral:rRNA from 1 species